UCCGAGACUCCAACGCGACCUACCUCAGACCCGGUGAAUUUUCUACCGGAUAUGGAUGUGCUUUAAGGAAUUCCAAUGUUAAUUGUACUUUUUGGGGACUUUGAGUGAUUCACCACCCUUUGAACAAAUGUAUUUUGAGAUCCUCAAAGGAAUCCUAGAUUUGUCAAGAAGCCAUGUUUUAAUUGCUGCCCAUCAAAUAGUACUGUGUCUUGCAUGUGUAAAUUAGAUUCAUUUUGAGGAAAUAGCUGGUGUGCAGUGCACAUUCCUAAAUGAAUUCAUCAGUUUACAUUAAGGAUCUACCUUCAAAUCCUGUAAUCUGGGAUGCUCUAAAGUGCAUGUCACAGACUAAAGUUAUAAAAAUAACUUCCAAGAUUUUUUAAGAAAUUGUUAUAACUUUGAAAUGUAUGUAUAUACAUGUAUACUGAUAUUGAAUUAAAUUUUAUAAAAUUUCA